AUGAGCUAUGUGUGGAGGAGCAUACUUAAAGGGAUUGAACUCUUAAAAGAAGGAGUGGUCUGGAGGAUUGGAGACGGUACCGAUGUUCAGAUUUGGGAUGACCCACGAAUCCCGAGGGGUAUCACACGGCGACCUUCAACCCCUAAAGGUCAGUGCCUCCUCACUAGAGUCUGUGAGCUCAUCGACCCGGACACGGGCACGUGGGAUCGGGAUCUCGUCGAGGGAUGCUUUCACGCAGAUGAUGUGCCUUCCAUUCUGAGUAUUCCUAUCUGCGAGCAGUCCGAAGACUUUCUAGCUUGGCACUAUGAUAGCAAGGGUAUCUUCUCUGUCAAAUCGGCUUACAAGGUGCAUGUGGUUGUUCUGAAACGGGAGACUACCAGGCAGAGGGGUCAGAGCUCUUCGGAGGUCUCUGCUCGCUCCGAAAUCUUCAGUCUCAUUUGGAAGCAGAAAUGUCUACCCAAAGUUCACCACUUAUGGAGGCUUGCCCAUAACAGCCACCCCAUGUACAUAAACAUCGCCAGAAGGGGUGUCGAGCUCGACACGCGAUGUGCAGUCUACGGACGCCUCUUUGAGGAUGGAUGGCACUUCUUUCUGAACUGCAAAUGGGUUAAGCAACGGUGGCGGGCUCUUCAGUUGGAAGAAGGCAGGAUACAGCUCGCCCAACUUCAGAAUGCAAGGGAAGUAGUACAUGCGGUGUUACGGCUUCCUAAUGAGCAAAGGAUGUCGACCAUUGCACUAUUGUGGGCAUGGUGGUCAGAAAGGAACCGAGGAAACCAUGGAGAGCGGCGUUCAACAGUUGAUGAAUUUCAGUUUCUUGUCGGAUUCCACGCAAAUGAAUGGAGAGUGUACAUUGACCCUGCUCCUCCAGUCCGAGUGGCCUCCUGCCGGGCAUGGCAGCCCCCCUCCAGAUCUAGUAAAGAUUAA
rnacentral:rRNA from 1 species